rnacentral:rRNA from 1 species
GACGAACGCUGGCGGCGUGCUUAACACAUGCAAGUCGAACGGAAAGGCCCUGCUUUUGUGGGGUGCUCGAGUGGCGAACGGGUGAGUAACACGUGAGUAACCUGCCCUUGACUUUGGGAUAACUUCAGGAAGCUGGGGCUAAUACCGGAUAGGAGCUCCUGCUGCAUGGUGGGCGUUGGAAAGUUUCGGCGGUUGGGGAUGGACUCGCGGCUUAUCAGCUUGUUGGUGGGGUAGUGGCUUACCAAGGCUUUGACGGGUAGCCGGCCUGAGAGGGUGACCGGCCACAUUGGGACUGAGAUACGGCCCAGACUCCUACGGGAGGCAGCAGUGGGGAAUAUUGCACAAUGGGCGGAAGCCUGAUGCAGCAACGCCGCGUGCGGGAUGACGGCCUUCGGGUUGUAAACCGCUUUCGCCUGUGACGAAGCGUGAGUGACGGUAAUGGGUAAAGAAGCACCGGCUAACUACGUG